rnacentral:rRNA from 1 species
UACAGAGGGUGCAAGCGUUAAUCGGAAUUACUGGGCGUAAAGCGUGCGUAGUCGGUUAUCUAAGUCGGAUGUGAAAUCCCCGGGCUCAACCUGGGAAUUGCAUUCGAUACUGGAUAGCUAGAGUUCGGCAGAGGGAAGUGGAAUUUCGGGUGUAGCGGUGAAAUGCGUAGAUAUCCGAAGGAACAUCAGUGGCGAAAGCGACUUCCUGGACCAGAACUGACGAUCAGGCGCGAAAGCGUGGGGAGCAAACAGG